rnacentral:rRNA from 1 species
AUUGAACGCUGGCGGAAUGCUUUACACAUGCAAGUCGAACGGCAGCACGGACUUCGGUCUGGUGGCGAGUGGCGAACGGGUGAGUAACAUAUCGGAACGUAUCCAAUAAUGGGGGAUAACUAAUCGAAAGGUUGGCUAAUACCGCAUACGCCCUACGGGGGAAAGCUAGGGACCUUCGGGCCUGGCGUUAAUGGAGCGGCCGAUAUCUGAUUAGCUAGUUGGUGGGGUAAAGGCCCACCAAGGCGACGAUCAGUAGUUGGUCUGAGAGGACGACCUGCCACACUGGAACUGAGACACGGUCCAGACUCCUACGGGAGGCAGCAGUGGGGAAUUUUGGACAAUGGGCGCAAGCCUGAUCCAGCCAUUCCGCGUGAGUGAAGAAGGCCUUCGGGUUGUAAAGCUCUUUCGCAAGGGAAGAAAACUUAUCCUCUAACAUAGGCUGAGGUUGACGGUACCUGGAUAAGAAGCACCGGCUAACUACGUGCCAGCAGCCGCAGUAAUAC